UACGUAGGGGGCAAGCGUUGUCCGGAAUCAUUGGGCGUAAAGCGCGUGUAGGCGGCCCGAUAAGUCCGCUGUGAAAGUCCAGGGCUCAACCCUGGAAUGCCGGUGGAUACUGUCGGGCUAGAGUCCGGAAGAGGCGAGUGGGAUUCCUGGUGUAGCGGUGAAAUGCGCAGAUAUCAGGAGGAACACCAAUUGCGAAGGCAGCUCGCUGGGACGUUACUGACGCUGAGACGCGAAAGCGUGGGGAGCAAACAGG
rnacentral:rRNA from 1 species